rnacentral:tRNA from 1 species
AUGAUAUUUCAACGGCUUUUGAAAACGAGAGAUACAGAAUUUUAUCGAGUUAUACAAAACGGGAAUAUUGAAGAUGUGUUUGGAUACUUACUAAUUCACGACAAACGGGAACCAGCAGAAAUUGAUGAUUUUAAAGUGUUUGCAAAAAGUAAUAUAAAUAAAGAAGCUUUUUCAGUGAAUAUCAAAAAAAAUCAUAUUUACACGAUGUUUUUUCACUUUACCGAUUUAGAAGAAGAACAGGAAAUUCCAAAAUUUACUAAAGUUAUUCGUUUUAUAGAAGGACUUUUAUCUUUUCAACCAGAAACAAGUCAUUAUGUUGAUAAUUAUUUAAUAAAGGAAAAACUAAUUUUUGAAUAUCCUGCUGAAUUUGAGAAAAUCGGGGAGUUUGCUAAAUAUUUAGUAGAGGUUUCUGGUCGGGAAAUUACUAUUCCAGACACUACGAGAGAAAAAUAUAUCUAUUUGACACAAUAA